GUAGGGGAGCAAACACCAUCUCCUUUCUGGAGGCAGCCGCGACAUGACGGCGAGAAAAGUUUCCCCUCUCCCUCCUGCCAAGCUCCGCGUGUCACUCGGUACGCGCCGUGUCUGCCGCUGGGCAGGACUGCAGAGCGCCGGGCCUUGGGUCUUGGCCUCCAUCGGAUGAACAAUUUCCCCUUGAAGGUUACUCACUUCCUGUUUUCCGUAUUUAGACAAUCUGGGCCUAUUGGGAGCUUUGAUUUUUUUGUAAACUUCAGCUGUUUUAAACGUUAAGUCGCGGGAGACUGAGGCUAAUUUCCAAGGGGAGAUGCCUCACCACAAAAUGUCCCUCUCUGCCCUGCCACAGUUGGUCCUGAUUUGACUGUCUCUGUGGAGAAGCCAAGGAUCAAAUGUUCCAUGGCGCCAGACUGUUUUCUUUUGCAGCCUGCAGGUCACCAGGAUACUUAAGAAGUUUGCGUUAAUUAUACCAUGUUUGCCAUCAAAGAGGGGAUAUUAACCCUUUCAAACUGUUGCAGGAAAGCAGUGGAACCAUUUGAAAAUUAGUGCCACCUGACAAACAUGGGAUUAUUUAUUAUCUGUGUUGCAGGAACUGCUGAAGCCCCUGCUCAGAGAAGCACGCUCCUCCGGGCGCUGGGGAUGCACCACCCCUCCUGACAGCCUGAUGGAUUAUGGCCCCAGUUCUGUCAGUGCAUCCAACCAAACCAGCAAAGAGGCAGAGAGGCAGCCCCCAGGUAAGCCACCAUCACAACCUGAAUGGGAUGUGUCCUGUGCAACCAAAGCAAACAGCUUGGUUAUUCCAAAUUUUAAAGAGAUAUUGCUAGUUCUCAUUUCUCAAAGAUGGAGGGAGAGAGGCUGAUUUUAGUUAUAAUCCCAUUUUAAACCUGUCUGAAAAAGAACACAUUUCUUUUUAAAUGAAGCUUGCACAGUGUGCUAUAAACUGCCUCUUUUUUUUCCUUUUUUUUUUUAAUGGGUGUUUGCACUAAGCCUUGCAGAACAAGUUAGAGAGAUGAUUAACUCGUCUGAAAUGAUGCAGGAAGGCCUUGUCCCAGUCGGGUGUUCUUCCUUCAGCACAUGGAGAGCUGCUGCAGCUCCAUGGUAUUCACAAGCAGGGCUUGCAACCAGGGCUGGGCAGGAGGCUGCAGGGGGAAAGGCAAGAACUGCUCCAAAGGGCUGGAAUUCUCACACACACACACACACACACACACACACACAGAGAAAAAGGAACCCAGGUCAUUUUUCCCUCAAUGAGUAAAGAGUUAUCCCCAGGCUGGUUUCCACAGGGGGUCAAAGGAGGAAACCCAAAAUUCACUAGCAGUUUUCUUGAAAAUAUUGUUGCAGCAGCAGCAGCAGCAAUGCCCACCCCUACACACUUUGCAAGACUUUGCUUCACUUUGUAAGGCCCCAAGGGGUUCCUUGUGUGGGUCAAACUCCACUGUGUGAUGAAAGCAGCUGCAGUUUUGGUGUCAUGGAAGAUCUGUUUGGUCAGCCCUUUUCUCCAUCCUCACAUGCCAGUCCAUGUGCACGCCUCCCUGCACUCAGCCCUGUUCCCAGGGCAGCUCCAGGCUGGCCAUCCCCCCUUGCUCCCUUCACCCUGCCACUGAUAAUGACAAAUGGCAAGAAACAGGUUUCCAGGUGGAGAGAACUUUCCCUGGUCUCAUACAGGUCCUGCCUUGAAAUCCAUUAGGCAGCUGGCCUCUUUUCUAUGUUUACAAUGCUUUUAAAAUGUGUUUUUAAUGUAAAAGUAUUUCUCCAAACACUUUAAUAAAACACACCAAAAAAAAAAUUCAAGAGAAAUCACAGUUCAUCAUCUCUUAUGUGGCUGCUCCCUCAAAAUUUAACCUAGUUUAGAAACUUAGGCACACUUAACUGCUUGACCUCAUCACUCCAAAACAACACUGGAGAAUGAGUUUUUGUACCUGUGCUUCCAAUACUAAAUCAUUCUUUAACUACCUUCUUUUGUUCUACCCUGUUAGGGUUUCAAAAUAUCAUAGUCUGCUCUGCAUAAAGUAUAAGCUAAUAAUUCUGCUGGCAACAAUGAUGAUAAUUUUUCCUCUCUCCCCAUUAAAAGCAGCUUUUAUGACGUGAAGCAGGGCACAGGUAGUUUCACAAAAAAGGUAUUUAUUAUUCUUAGCAAUAUUCACCUUGAAGGAAUAUGAGGAAAGCAUACACUUUUUACAGACAAUAUAUAAACAUGUUGUACAUAAUUAACAAUAAUUUAGUUCACUAAUCCAAAAAUAAGCAAAAUAAAAAUUAAAAUAAAAACAGAAAAUACUGAAGAAUUUUUUAUGCUGAUACAAGUACAAAAUAAUUUAAAUCUCAACUGCUGUUGUCUAUGCUGCAGUGACUGACAAUAUAUUGCACUUUGUCAACUGUAUCAGUAAUCCCUGUCUUUCACCCACACCCCUUCCCCUCUGCCCAAAUCCUACAGAAAUUUAAGUUGGGUACAAAUAAUGUACAACUGUACCAUUGUAAAAGGUAAAAAGUAAAAAGGACCUAAUUUUUUACCUCAGUAGAUUAAAAAUUCUUAUGAUUUCUCUCAACCAAUUUAGUUUCCCAUUUAUUUCCACUUCUUUACAAAGUGCACCUAUAUGCCUACACAGACCAAAAAAAAAGAGGAAAGCAGGAUUUUCAUGGCUGCUUGGUUCUUAAUUAUAAAAUACUACAUUUUAGUAGGCUUAAAAAUUACAGGCUUAAAAAAAUUUACAUACAUCCUUUUUUUGUUUCAUUCUGUUUUUUUUCUUUAAAGCAGGACUUUUGCAGUAAAGAUACAAUUUGGCUUGAUCCAAAAAACAAAAAAAAAAAAAAGGAAAAAGAAAAACCC